AUAUAUAUAUAUAUAUAUAUAGGGGAGGGAUCCAUUGAGAAGGAGUCUCAAAAUGAGAAGGAUGAGAAGGAUUUAUAGCCAUAGAUCUUAUGAAGAUCUAACGGGUAAGAAUAAAAAGGGUUGAACCGUGACUAUAAAGAAAAUAAAGAAAAUGGUCCAAAAAAUAGGUUUCUCCCUCCUUUGAAAACCAAAAUUGUUGCUCAUCUUCUCUUCCUUGAAAACCAAAAACGCUGCUCCAUCUUCUCUUCGAUCUUCAAUUCAUGAAAACCAAAAAUUUCUUGCGAUUCUCUUCUUUUCAUCGUUGUCAUAGACAAAUGAUAAAAGUUGAUUUAUGUAAGAAGAUCAGAUGCUGAAAAUGAAGAGAUUGUUAAGAUGACUAUUUAUUUACUAGUAUGCUCUUGUAAAAGUUUUAAACAUACUAUUCCGUUGUAAUUUGAUACUAUGUUAUAAAUAAAGGUUACUAUGAUUAUAUAUAGUUACUAUCUUCUAUUU